rnacentral:tRNA from 1 species
AAAAAAAUAAGCUAAUUUAAGCUAUUAGGUUCAUACCCUAAAUAUAAAGAUUUUAAUUCUUUUUUUUUUA